AUAGCGACUUCUAUUUCGAGAUAGACAUAAUAUGUAAUAACAUAACUGAAUUUUUCUGAAUAAUUAGGUAAACCUCAUACACAAAGAAGCGGGUGUGCCUCCAUCAGGAUCACAUCCACAACUGUUCGAAUACAAACAUGUGCAAAUGCAUCCCCUUUUAUGUUUAUGUUUUUUAAAACAAAGUUUUUCAAGUGUGUUUAUUUUUGCAAAAGGGGUUUUAAAGUAUGGAGAAUUAUCCCAUAUCGAUUUCUCAUCCAUAUUUUUUUGGAAAAAAGAAAAAAAAACUCAUUUUCAAGAGUACCUCAUGUCUCUUCCCUAUCUGUUGACAAUUGGCAAAUAGGACGGCAUCGUGCAUAAAAAUGUGUGAAGCUUUUGUCACGAGCAUCUCUCUUCUCGGCGUCGUCUUCUAAAGGUGGA
rnacentral:lncRNA from 1 species